AUUGAACGCUGGCGGCAGGCCUAACACAUGCAAGUCGAGCGGACGAAGCGAGCUUGCUCCUGGAUUCAGCGGCGGACGGGUGAGUAAUGCCUAGGAAUCUGCCUGGUAGUGGGGGAUAACGUCCGGAAACGGGCGCUAAUACCGCAUACGUCCUGAGGGAGAAAGUGGGGGAUCUUCGGACCUCACGCUAUCAGAUGAGCCUAGGUCGGAUUAGCUAGUUGGUGGGGUAAAGGCCUACCAAGGCGACGAUCCGUAACUGGUCUGAGAGGAUGAUCAGUCACACUGGAACUGAGACACGGUCCAGACUCCUACGGGAGGCAGCAGUGGGGAAUAUUGGACAAUGGGCGAAAGCCUGAUCCAGCCAUGCCGCGUGUGUGAAGAAGGUCUUCUGAUUGUAAAGCACUUUAAGUUGGGAGGAAGGGCAGUACGUUAAUACCUUGCUGUUUUGACGUUACCAACAGAAUAAGCACCGGCUAACUUCGUG
rnacentral:rRNA from 1 species